CGGGGUGUAGCGCAGUUGGCUAGCGCACCGCGUUUGGGACGCGGGGGUCGGCGGUUCGAGUCCGCCCACCCCGA
rnacentral:tRNA from 1 species